GAUUUCAAUGUGGUCCUCUUCUCUGUCAGGUAUUGGGGUCUCUCUUAUCUCUACAAGCUUACUACUAGAAUUUCAUAUGUCAUUGAUUAGACCAACUGUUUCAAAUUAUCAAGACUCUACUUGUUAUAUGCAAGUAUUUGGGUCCAUUGCACUUCCAUUGCCUCUAAGUCUAUGUGUUCCUCGUUGAGCGUGCGUAGGAAUUUUUAUGGGUAGGCUCAGAUUUUCCGUGCCACCAAUAAAGUUUCUUGGUAAUUAUGCGAGCCUAAAAAAUGAGGGUAGGCUGGAUUGACCGAGGGUUGGUGGGACUAUGUGCGAUGUUUAGAAUAUAUGAGAGGUCAGGAAUUCUUCUAAGAUUCCAUUGUAAGACCAAUUGCUAUGGACUGUGAGAGCUCCAUGUGCUGCUGCUAGAUAUGGAGGAAAAUUGUUCAGCGUUUAGACCUAUUGCUUGGCCUUUUGUUAAAGCAUCAUUGGGGAUGGAAGCUACAUUCUUUGGUUUAAUUGAUCAUCUUGGAUCUGAUUUCGCUGUUUGUUUGUUAUCUCAGGAUCCUCUUAUGGACAAAGUUUUGUAAUGAUGUAUGGACGUGCCUCUCUCGUCUAAUUUCACAUUAACUGAUUAUAUUGCUUGGUGUAUCUCCCCUUCAAAGUAUCAGGCAUAUCCUAAUUGGAUGCUUUAAGUUAAGAACUCAUCAUCCUUUGGUUGCUGUAAACGUUAUCUGGUUCCCUAAGCUUAUAGUAGGCAUAUUUAUAUUUAUCUUCUGUGGAUGGACAUCACGAAAAUCUCAGGAUCAAGAAUAACUAACAGUUUGGGGGGAGUCAUUGCCGAUGCAAGUGCCCUCUUGUAUAAUCAAGAUGUUUGAAAGACUUGACGACAUCUUUUUCUGACUGCCUUCUCUAAUUGUGUUUUGGGGGGAGCCAUUCUUCUAUUGCUUGAUGUGUCCUUAUCCUGCUGCGGCCUCUUUCUUGUAUCUUGGCAACAUCAGAUCAUCUCUAGGUUUACGGCAAGCUCGCUCUCCUUGCAAGGCUUUCUCCAAUGUUGCAAGGAAAUUGGCCUGCGCAGCUACCAUCUAUUUCCUUUGGCAGGAAAGAAAUAGUAGUGCUGGAGGAGAAUUCAUAAGAUCUUCCUCUUAUGUGACUGUCAAAUUACAUUUGAAGCUCGUGUUAAAGCCUCACAGUUUAGACAUUUCAACUCUCUUGUUUAAAUUCUCUUUUUGUACAAAUUGGCUCGUCCCCUCAUUGUAUUUCCUGCUCACAUCAUUAGCCUAACUUCCCGCUUCUCGUGCUUUUAUGUGUUUUUGACUUGAAGGUAUGCACGUCAUGAUACCUAUAACUCUUUUUUUCUGUUUCCGAGUUUUUGUUUGUGAUCAGUUCAACUCUCUAGCCAUAAGACUUCUCAAGCUUAAAGCUUCUGUUCUGAGUUUAUGGUUUAUUUGCUGGGCAUAUGUCAGACAGAAAUGGACCUAGUUUGCCUGAAAUCAUUGCGAAUAGUAGGAAGUCCAAAUUUGUGGGGAUAUAUUGGCAGGAAUUUCCAAAGAUGAACCCUUCUAUGAUGCUCCUGUUAUUUUAAACUGAGUCCUCCAAUGACGAUAUGGUCCGAUAAAUUUUGUUGCUAUAAAAACUUUAAAAGGAAGAUGCACUGGUGAUGGCAGCCUUUGUCAAAGUGUAUUAUAGGGGUGGAUGAUGUUUGUUGGUUUUUGUGGAAGGCUACAACUGUUGUAUACUGAAAAUGAAAUAUAUAUCCUUUUAAAUUUUAAUUUUUUUGUCGGAAUAGAGUUAACACUUUUUCUUUUUCUUCCCUAUUGACUGUACAAAGAUUCCAUGAGCAUAAUAUAAUCACGAAACCAAAUCUAAUAACAUAUAAAAAAUAUGGAAAUUUCAAUUGAAAUGGAUACUAUGGAUGCGAAUAAUAAAAAAACACAAUCACAUCAUCUCCAUAAGACUUGAUUACACACAGUCAUUGCCGUAGAGAAACCUUUACUUUCCUAAACACAGCCAUAAAGAUAUCUCUUCUCAUAGAUAACACUGUCCUAAAGUUUAUCCCUCUGUCUAAUCUUAUCCUAUUUAUCAAGUUUUGUGAUGCUCUUUCUUAACACUUAAUAAUAUUAAAAAAAAAGAGCUAUUUUCCUUGUCCUAACUCAUGAUUCUUGAGGGUGUUGGCAAGGUAGAUGGAAAUGUACCUAACCUUUCCUAUCCUAAUCCUGUCAGACUAGAAUGUAUAUUCUUACAAUUGCAAUGGGAGCAUUUUAUGCAACACCAAGCAGUCAUCCCUCAUGACAGGUAAACUCUCUCUCUCUCUCUCAUUGUUAAUCUUAUCAUUUUGAAGCAGAAUUGGUGCAAUUGUGAUUUUUGGAGAAUGAAUUUAACACAUAAUCUGUUAUUGUGCAAGUAGAUUCUUCUUCUUGAGGUUCACAAGUUUAUUCACAAAUUCGGGAUUGCAAUGGAGGCUCCUCCUUAUAUUCAACUUAUCGAAAGAUUAAUAAACGUUUUUUCAGGCCUUGCAUUUAAGUAUUGACCCCUCCACCAAUUGAAAGACACAAGGGUUGGUGGUAU
rnacentral:lncRNA from 1 species